CAGCAGCCGCGGGAAUACGAAUGGGGCUAGCGUUGUUCGGAAUUACUGGGCGUAAAGGGCGCGUAGGCGGCCAUUCAAGUUAGAUGUGAAAGCCCUGGGCUCAACCUAGGAAUUGCAUUUGAUACUGUUUGGCUUGAGUUCGGGAGAGGUGAGUGGAAUUCCCAGUGUAGAGGUGAAAUUCGUAGAUAUUGGGAAGAACACCAGUGGCGAAGGCGGCUCACUGGACCGACACUGACGCUGAGGCGCGAAAGCGUGGGGAGCAAACAGGAUUAGAUACCCCAGUAGUCCCUGUCUCUUAUAC
rnacentral:rRNA from 1 species